AAAAUAAUCCUACCUUUGUGAAUUUUGUUUGUUUGAAUAAUUUUUUUUUUAAAAAAUUAUUGGAGUCUUUCCCUUUAGAGUUUGCUUUUGAGUUUGUAAAAGAAUUCGAAAACAUCUAAAGGGGAUGGUCAAUAAUUUUUUUGAAAAAAGACAUUUUUUAAAAUUAAACUUUUUGUAUUCAUUUGUCUAAAAAUUAUUUUUAUAAUAUAAAACAACUUUUGACAAUGGAUCUCUUGGUUCUCGCAACGAUGAAGAACGCAGCAAAAUGCGAUAAGUAGUGUGAAUUGCAGAAUACGUGAAUCAUCGAAUCUUUGAACGCAUAUUGCACUUUUUAGUUUACUAAAAAAGUAUGUCUGUUUGAGUAUCAGUAAAUAUUCUCAUAAAAUCAUUGUAUUUUUAUGGUUAUGAGUGUUUACAACGAUACAAGUUGUUUCACUUUAAAUUUUUUUUAAUAUUGAAAUUUUUCUAAUUUUAAUAAUUAAAAUUGGAUAAAAUUUUCCCGUCAAAAGGAAUAACCUAAACAAUUUAAAUGAUUAAUUUUAGCAAAAUUUUCGUAAAAAAGGAAAUUUUUAUUAAAAUAACUUGAUCUCAAAUCAGAUAAGAGUACCCGCUGAACUUAAGCAUAUCAAUAAGCGGAGGAAAAGAAACUAACAAGGAUUCCCUUAGUAACGGCGAGUGAAGCGGGAAGAGCUCAAAUUUGAAAUCUUCAAGGUUUACCUUGACGAAUUGUAGUUUAAAGAAGUGUUUUCUGCUGAAGUUUUGGUAAAAGUUCUUUGGAAUAGGACAUCAUAGAGGGUGAGAAUCCGUAUUUGACCAUUAUUUUCAGCUUUGUGAUACACUUUCAAAGAGUCGGAUGUUUGGGAAUGCAGUCCAAAAUGGGUGGUAAAUUUCAUCUAAAGCUAAAUAUUGGCGAGAGACCGAUAGCGAACAAGUACCGUGAGGGAAAGAUGAAAAGAACUUUGAAAAGAGAGUUAAACAGUACGUGAAAUUGUCAAAAGGGAAGCGUUUGACACCAGUGUUGUUUUCUCGAAAAUCAAUUAAAAAUGGCUCGAUUUUGUAUUGCUGAGACCUUAAAAGCUCACUGUACAUUUUUCGUGUCUUUUUUAAUGCACUUUUCGUUUAACAAGUCAACAUCAGUUUCUUUUGUUGUAAAAGGGUCAUUGGAAGGUGGCUUUCUUUUCGGAGAAAGUGUUUAUAGCCUUUGGCCUCUGCAAUCGAGAGACUGAGGUCUGCAGCGUAGACUCUUCGGGUUAGAUACAUUUGUGCUAAGUUAUAGCUUUUUAUAGACAACUUGUUGACUAUAAUUAGUCUUGUAGCUUACUCGCUUAUGCUAUUUUACCUACGCUUAGGAUG
rnacentral:misc_RNA from 1 species